AUUUCGUCUGUAAUCUCGUCUGUUUCGUUUUCAAAUGGCACCCUGUAUAUGGCAUUUGAUGCAUGCAGUUUUGUUGAUGAUGUACCAACAAGUUUUGAGGAAUUAAAAAAUAGAACUGAUAGGAUAAUUUGGUUAGGAGCUGUAGAAAGAGAACUGAAGUCAAUAGAAAUGAAUGAGACGUGGCAAGUAGUUGAUAAACCAAAUAAUAUUCAAAUUUUAGACACUAAAUGGGUGUUUUCCCUUAAAUCAAUGGAAGAGAAUGAGUCAGAUAAAUUCAAGGCACGAUUGGUAGUAAGAGCUUUUGCACAAGGAGCAUAUGAUGAAAUGUAUUCACCAGUAGCAAGAAUGACAUCUAUUAGAGCACUACUGAUUUUAGGAAAUCAGUUUAAUUAUUCUUUUUUGCAAUUAGAUGGAAAACAGCAUUUUUAAAUGGAGUCUUGAAUGAAGAUAUAUAUAUUUAUCCUCCAAAAGGAAUAAGCUUACCUGAAAAUAAAAUUCUAAAAUUGAGAAAAUCUUUAUACGGACUAAAACAAUCUUCUAAAUGUUGGAAUGAUGAAAUUAAUAGAUUUUUGUUGGAUAUUGGUUUUUGUCGAUCAGAAAACGGUUUUUGCCUUUAUACUUUGUAUAGAAAAGAUGGAAAUAAGAUUUAUCAAUUAAUUUAUGUAGAUGACAUAAUUUUAUUUGGAUCGAGUAUGAGCCAAUUAAAUGAUAUAAAAUUGAAAUUAAUGAAUAAGUUUCAAAUGAAAGAUAAGGGAUGUUUGAAAUAUUUUCUUGGAUUAGAGAUAGAUUAUGAUAAGCAGAAGGGGAUUUUGAAAAUAAGUCAAGAAAAAUAUAUUAAAAGACUUUUGAAAAAAUUUAAUAUAGAAAAUUGUAAGGGAAGUUUAACACCAAUAGAAAAAGAUCUGAAGAUUGAAUUUAGUAAUAAUGGAAAUAAGACAUCAAAACCAUUUAGGGAAUUAGUAGGUUGUCUUAUGUAAUUAAUGUUAGGAACUAGAAUUGAUAUAUGUUUUGCUGUCAAUUAUUUUAGUAGGUUUCAAGAUAAGGGUACAGAUGAAGCAUGCAACCACUUGAAACGAAUUUUAAGAUAUUUAAAAAUGACAAUGUCUAUAGGAUCAGAAUAUAAAAGAAAUUAUAACAAUGAAAUUUGUUGCUUUGUAGAUUCAGAUUGGGGAGGUGACACACUAGAUAGAAAAUCCGUCACUGGAUAUGUUUUUAAAUUAUUUGGCAAUACUUUGUGUUGGACCACCAAAAAGCAAACUAGUGUCGCACUUUCCACAACAGAGGCAGAAUUAGUAGCAUUGUGUGCAUCUGUUUCUGAGGAUUUAUGGCUAAAGAAACUGUUUUUAGAUUUAAGAGUUGUUUUUGAUUUAGUCACAUUUUAUGAAGAUAAUCAAGGAUGUCUAGCAUUAAUUAAAAAUCCUGCUAACAAUAGAAGGGUUGAACAUUUGGAUUUGAAAUUUCAUUUUGUAUCAGAAAAUGUUAAAAAUGGAAAAAUAGAAGUAAUUUACGUUGAUUCAUCAAUCAACAAGCUGACACUCUGACUAAAGGAUUGUGUACAGGUUCAUUUGUGAAAUUUAGAGAAAUGUUAUCUUUAAAGGAUUUUAGCGAGGGGGGGGGUGUUGAGACUUCGCUAAAAUGAAUGAGUUAUAUAUUGUUAUAUGAUAGUAUUAUUCUAUGUUUUUCAUAUAUGACAUGUAUGACAAGUAGAAGAGUUGUUCCCGCUUGAAAUACUUGUAUGAUGUAUGUCACUCUUAUUACUAGAAGAUAAUUGAGUUUAAGCUGACGAAUAUUUUGUAUUUCCACCCACACAAUAAUAAAUUAAUACUGCGCUCAAAAUAUUAUUACUGGAUAUAUACUGAGUUCUGUUACCUAACAUCAACAAUUCAAGGUUGAUUGUGUCAAAAGCCUUUGAGUAGUCUAGCAGCACGAGGAUACUGGACAAGCCCUCAUCAUAGGCCUCCAUGAUAUCACCGGUCACAGGAGCAAGUGCAGUAGCAGUGCUAUAGUUUUUUCUGAAACCACAUUGUGAGUCUGGUAAUAUAUUGCUUGAUCUCAGAUGAUUAAUCAUUUGAUUAUGGAGUACUUUCUCAAAAAUCUUCGACAAGAAUGGCAGUAUACUGAUAAUUCUUAGAUCAGAAAAAGACGAGAGGUUCCCUACCUUCGGAAUGGGUUUACCCAGGGAAACCUUCCACAAAUGAGGAAAAUAGCAAGAUUCAAUGCACACAUUUAUGAUAUGCACAAUAUAUUUAACAAUAAAUGGUCCACAAUAUUGAA